rnacentral:lncRNA from 1 species
AUGUAUUUUUCUACCUUUAUUUUAUUUCUCCAAUGGUUAAUUGGUUAAUGUUAAGCAUAUAACUAGCCUAUUUCAAAUAGAUAGUAUUGGUGGUGGUUUCAAACUUUGAAAUUUGGAUAUAUCUACAAACAUUAAAAAAGAAAAAAAUUUGCAUCUUCAAGCCAAUAGAAAGAAAAUAAAAUGUAUGAAACAUUAUUGUCCAGCUGAAAAUUGCAACCCAACAAUAAAAACUACAAACUUAGACAAUUACAUAUUUAGACAAAAUACAAAUUACAUUGUCCCAUUAACAUUAUAACAAACAUGCAUCUUUGUGCAUUCAAAAGUAAAUGUAAUCAUAAUUCUUGAAGCCACUUCCAUAAUAGAAAACUGUAGAAGAACAUCCUUGCAUCUUCUAACUCUCAAAACCUACAAACACAAAAUUGAAACAUUAGCAAUUGGGAUGGUAGUAUUUAUCAUAAUAAAAAUAAAGCCCCAUCCAACCGGCAAAAAAAAAAAA